GAUGAACGCUAGCUACAGGCUUAACACAUGCAAGUCGAGGGGUUCUGAAGGAGCUUGCUUCUGAUGAACGACCGGCGCACGGGUGAGUAACGCGUAUCCAACCUGCCCUUCAUAUUGGGAUAGCCUUCCGAAAGGGAGAUUAAUACCGAAUAACAUGAGAAGUUUGCAUGAAUCUCUCAUGAAAGCUCCGGCGAUGAAGGAUGGGGAUGCGUUCCAUUAGGUAGUAGGCGGGGUAACGGCCCACCUAGCCAACGAUGGAUAGGGGUUCUGAGAGGAAGGUCCCCCACACUGGAACUGAGACACGGUCCAG
rnacentral:rRNA from 1 species